CAGCAGCCGCGGUAAUACAGAGGGUGCAAGCGUUAAUCGGAAUUACUGGGCGUAAAGUGCGCGUAGGUGGUUUGUUAAGUUGGAUGUGAAAUCCCCGGGCUCAACCUGGGAACUGCAUCCAAAACUGGCAAGCUAGAGUAUGGUAGAGGGUGGUGGAAUUUCCUGUGUAGCGGUGAAAUGCGUAGAUAUAGGAAGGAACACCAGUGGCGAAGGCGACCACCUGGACUGAUACUGACACUGAGGUGCGAAAGCGUGGGGAGCAAACAGGAUUAGAUACCCGCGUAGUCCCUGUCUCUUAUAC
rnacentral:rRNA from 1 species